AACGAACGCUGGCGGCAGGCCUAGCACAUGCAAGUCGAGCGAGCAUUUCGGUGCUAGCGGCGGACGGGUGAGUAACGCGUGGGAACGUGCCCUUUUCUGCGGAAUAGUCCUGGGAAACUGGGGGUAAUACCGCAUACGCCCUUUUGGGGAAAGAUUUAUCGGAGAAGGAUCGGCCCGCGUUGGAUUAGGUAGUUGGUGGGGUAAUGGCCCACCAAGCCGACGAUCCAUAGCUGGUUUGAGAGGAUGAUCAGCCACACUGGGACUGAGACACGGCCCAGACUCCUACGGGAGGCAGCAGUGGGGAAUCUUAGACAAUGGGGGCAACCCUGAUCUAGCCAUGCCGCGUGAGUGAUGAAGGCCUUAGGGUUGUAAAGCUCUUUCAGCUGGGAAGAUAAUGACGGUACCAGCAGAAGAAGCCCCGGCUAACUCCGUG
rnacentral:rRNA from 1 species